rnacentral:rRNA from 1 species
UACGAAGGGGGCUAGCGUUGCUCGGAAUCACUGGGCGUAAAGCGCACGUAGGCGGUUUCUUAAGUCAGGGGUGAAAUCCUGGAGCUCAACUCCAGAACUGCCCUUGAUACUGGGAGACUUCGAGUCCGGGAGAGGUGAGUGGAACUGCGAGUGUAGAGGUGAAAUUCGUAGAUAUUCGCAAGAACACCAGUGGCGAAGGCGGCUCACUGGCCUGAUACUGACGCUGAGGUGCGAAAGCGUGGGGAGCAAACAGG